rnacentral:lncRNA from 1 species
GGCAUGUGGACCAUACAUGGUCCAUGCACGGUGCACGUGUGGUUUGUGGGAAAGUUUGCGGUCCAUGCAUGAGGCAUGGACCCCCACGGCCCAGGAAGGUUUUCUCGUGAAUCACACGCUCAUGGAUGAGCAUGCGACACACGGUGCAUGCAGAGAGGCCCCGAUUCAUGCGGGAGUGGUCUAUGCAAAGUCUACAGGUGCAUUUUAUGCGAUUGGAUGGUUUUGAAUGUGUGCGGA